GACGCAUGUAGAGUCUGACGGAGCACGCCGCGUGAACGAUGAAGGCCUUCGGGUCGUAAAGUUCUGUUGUCAGGGAAGAACAAGUACCGGAGUAACUGCCGGUACCUUGACGGUACCUGACCAGAAAGCCACGGCUAACUACGUGCCAGCAGCCGCGGUAAUACGUAGGUGGCAAGCGUUGUCCGGAAUUAUUGGGCGUAAAGCGCGCGCAGGCGGUUCCUUAAGUCUGAUGUGAAAGCCCCCGGCUCAACCGGGGAGGGUCAUUGGAAACUGGGGAACUUGAGUGCAGAAGAGGAGAGCGGAAUUCCACGUGUAGCGGUGAAAUGCGUAGAGAUGUGGAGGAACACCAGUGGCGAAGGCGGCUCUCUGGUCUGUAACUGACGCUGAGGCGCGAAAGCGUGGGGAGCGAACAGGAUUAGAUACCCUGGUAGUCCACGCCGUAAACGAUGAGUGCUAAGUGUUAGAGGGUUUCCGCCCUUUAGUGCUGCAGCAAACGCAUUAAGCACUCCGCCUGGGGAGUACGGCCGCAAGGCUGAAACUCAAAGGAAUUGACGGGGGCCCGCACAAGCGGUGGAGCAUGUGGUUUAAUUCGAAGCAACGCGAAGAACCUUACCAGGUCUUGACAUCCUCUGACAACCCUAGAGAUAGGGCGUUCCCCUUCGGGGGACAGAGUGACAGGUGGUGCAUGGUUGUCGUCAGCUCGUGUCGUGAGAUGUUGGGUUAAGUCCCGCAACGAGCGCAACCCUUGAUCUUAGUUGCCAGCAUUAAGUUGGGCACUCUAAGGUGACUGCCGGUGACAACGGAGGAAGGUGGGGAUGACGUCAAAUCAUCAUG
rnacentral:rRNA from 2 species